UACGGAGGGGGCUAGCGUUGUCCGAAGUUAUUGGGCGUAAAGCGCACGCAGGCGGUCUCUUAAGUUUUGAGUGACAGGUAGUGGCUCAACCACAACAGGCCUCAGAAGACUGGGAGACUUGAGGACGAGAGAGGGAUGCGGAAUUCCAGGUGGAGCGGUGAAAUGCGUAGAUAUCGAGAGGAACACCUGCGGCGAAGGCGGCAGCCUGGUUGGCUCCUGACGCUCGGACACGACAGCAUGGGGAGCGAACGGG
rnacentral:rRNA from 1 species